CCUGGUGGCUCAGUGAUAAAGAAUCUGCCUGCAAUGCAGGUGACCCAGGUUCAAUCCCUGGGUCAGGA
rnacentral:tRNA from 1 species